rnacentral:lncRNA from 1 species
UUUCCGGCUAAGAACACGUCAAGUUGGGUUCUUAACUGGAACAUACUCGAUUUUUUAAGCUCGAACAGGAGAUCUUUGGAAUCGUUGCUCGCUCCACGGUAUGCAAACCACCUUCUAUGUGCGCUCAAUACCUAAUAUUCGAUCGAUUGAUUGUAUUUGGCCUUUGGGUAAUAUCUAUUCAUUUUAAAACUUAAAACUGUAUCUAAGUAUAUACCUUCGCAUGCAUGGUGACGACUGGGUUGCCAUCGUGGUCGUAAAGGAUCCGACGAUCUCUUAAGGUGAGGACUUUACCUUUGGCCUUCAUCAUCACGGUUUGGUUGAUGUCAGUGACCACGAAAUCGUCUCCCAUGGUCAUGAACUUCUGGGUGAUGGUCAGAUCCACCGGGUAAGGAGCGGCGAAUCUUGGAUCAACGACUAUCACGGGACCGCAUGCGUCUACCGGAUUGGAUUGUGGUGGUACAUAUGACAUCCCCGGU